GAUGAAGAACGUAGCGAAAUGCGAUACUUGGUGUGAAUUGCAGAAUCCCGUGAACCAUCGAGUCUUUGAACGCAAGUUGCGCCCGAAGCCACUAGGCCGAGGGCACGCCUGCCUGGGCGUCACACGCCGUUGCCCCCCCAUCUACUCCUUCGGGAUUGCGGGGGGGCGGAAGAUGGCCUCCUGUGCGCCUAGCCGCGCGGUUGGCAUAAAUACCAAGUCCUCGGCGACGCACGCCACGACAAUCGGUGGUUGCGAAACCUCGGUUGCCCGUCGUGUGCGUUCGUCGCGCAUCGAGGGCUCGAAAAAAUGCUCGGCUCCGGCUGGGCUUUCAACGCGACCCCAGGUCAGGCGGGGUUACCCGCUGAAUUUAAGCAUAUCAAUAAGCGGAGGA
rnacentral:misc_RNA from 1 species